GUGCAAAUGCAAGCAUUGUUGUGAUUGUUAUGCCUUCUGUUUCUUUGAUCCUCAGAAAAGAUAGCGAAGCGGGAGAGGCCUGUGCACUCAUUUUAAAGAGGAGGAAACCAAGUCUCGGAGCUAGCAGCGGGCGCUGGCGCUGGUCCCUUCAGGGCACCUCGCCCACCUCCACCUGUGUCUCUGUUGAUGUCUGUCCCGGUGGAGCCCUGCUGGCUGAUGCACUCAGCCCUGGGCCCUGGCGCUGCUGCAGGCUCCCCCUGCCAGGCAGCCCAACCCUGCCUGCAGGUAAUGAAGAUGGCACCUGACGAAUGUCACUCGUCAUGAGGCAGUGGCUCCCCCUGGACUGCCUCCUGCCCGAGUUCAUGAGAAGCAAUUUACUGUGUGUCAAGUGACCGCAGGAGAUCGAGGAAGGCCCCGCCCCGUGCCACCCUGGGCUUCUGGCGGAGAGGUGGGCUGCCAAGCAGGGUGACUAGCAGCCUUUGAUUACAGCUGGGAAGGAAUGGUGCCCAUGACCCAGCUAAACCGAGAACCCAGACCAGCUCUGCAGAUUCAGAGGGGCCCAGAGCCUUGCUUCCGUCACCCUCGUCGGAAGGGUGUCCUCCCCCAGACGCCUCAGCUCUAAGAGCUGAGCCAGAGCAGGGCCCCCGGCGCCUCCCAAAGCCAGCCCUGCCCUCCACGGAGCCGCCUGCUGUGCCCAGCUCAGGGGUGAGUGGACAGGCCUGGCUGCAGUGCGCUCCGAGUGCAGGCAGGGUGGCAAGGACCACGCCAGGCUCUAGCCCGGGCCCAGAGGUGGCUCGGCCAAGAGUGAAUACCUGACGACGUUGUUCUCCAGGGGCCCCACCAUUGCCUCAGGAGCAUCCAAAGUCCAAGAGGCUCACAAGCCUUCAGGACCCCAGAGGGCCCUUCCCAGCUGCCUCCUUUGUCACUCUUCAGUGAGAACCAAUUGCCGUCCCCGUCCCCACCUCCCUCCCCAAGCUGCCUCAUGCCUGUCCAGGCUGUGAUGGUCCCCUGCCUCCCACCGGCCCACCCCUCUCCAUCCCGGCCCUAUCUUAGCCAAUGUCACCUCCUCCAGGAAGCUCCUCUGACCUCCCGUCAGGGUUGGCCCUUCCUCAGGCUUCCACAGUGAGGGGAUUCGCCCUGUCCCGCCUGACAUAAUUGUCUGCAGCUGCCUCUGACACUCCCACCAGAGUGUGAGCCCCUCGGGGAAGGGCCCAUCCCCAGCACCUGCACAGGGCCUGGCACACAGGAGGGGCUCAGUGGGGGCUUGAGUGAGGAAGCAGGCCGUCCUCGGGAAUCCAGCCUGCACGGCGUCUCCAGGCAGCCUGCUGGGCGGAGGUUGGGGACCCGCCACGCACCUCAUCCAUGGGAGCUGUGGUCAGAGAAGGCUGCAUCUUGCAGACAGAAGCUGCCAGCCGUUCACGGGGAUUGCUGGGAUGCUGAGCAUUGCUGGGGUUCACACGAUGGUGGAUUCCAGCAUUAUCGUCUCUGAACUCUCAUGUGGACGGAAAUACUUGCAGCCCUGCUCCUGCCAUCAGAGUCGAAGAGGAGCAGAAGAUGAAGUUGGAGAUAUGGUCCUUCUAUAUGAGUAAGGCUCAUUAUUGUGUCUGGCAGGCCAGAGGCGUGGGCACUGGUUAGUCACAUUCCAGCCUGAGCUUCAUCACAAGUUAGCCACUGACCGCCCACCAUGUGCCAGGCUGGGGACCCAGAGGUGGAGGGGGCACAGCCUCUGCCUUGGAAGAACACUCAGGCUAUGUGGGAGACAGACGUGCAAACUUUCGACAGUAGCACCUUGUGAUCCAAGCUGGACAGAGGGACGGUCAGGGGCUAUAACCUUAACCCUGAAGGGUGGGGAUCAUCCCGGGAGGUGGUGUUACAGCAGCUGGGUCAAGAAGGACGGCAAGGGGCCAGUGAGCCAACGGGGGAUGCGAGAGGAGGUAGGGCUGCCAGGCAGGGGACCUGCCUGGAGAGGGCCCAGGAAGUCAGAGGGGUACAGUGGUUGGCAGAGACCAGAUCACAGAGGGCCGUGGAUGUAUUGCCAAAGUCAGGGAUAGACUCCACCCAGGGGACUAGGGGAGCCCUGCGGGUCAUGGAUGGGGAGGGUCGUCUGACUUGGAUGGAUAACCCAUUUGGGGUGGGAGGUUUGGGGAAGGGGCGGGCGGGGGCAGGGUGCCCAUGGAGGCUAGUGUAGGAAGCCAGACUAAAGGUGAGUGUGGCCCGAACCAGGGUGAUAGUGACCAUGGGAACCAAGAGCAGGUGGCCCAUUGAGACUGGCUCUAGAGAAAGCAUGGAUGGCCUGGGGCAGGGAGAGGAGAGACUGGUUCUAGAGAAAGCAUGGAUGGCCUGGGGGCAGGGAGAGGAGAGACUGGUUCUAGAGAAAGCAUGGAUGGCCUGGGGGCAGGGAGAGGAGAGACUGGUUCUAGAGAAAGCAUGGAUGGCCUGGGGGCAGGGAGAGGAGAGACUGGUUCUAGAGAAAGCAUGGAUGGCCUGGGGGCAGGGAGAGGAGAGACUGGUUCUAGAGAAAGCAUGGAUGGCCUGGGGGCAGGGAGAGGACAAUCAAGGACUCCCAGGUACAAGCCGGGUCAGCAGGGUGGCGGGUGGCGCCAGCAGCUCAGCCCGGGCGAUUUCCCAUGGAGACCUGGAGCCAGAGAACGAGAGGAUGAGGAUGUGAGACAGCACCACUGAGUCUACAUCCCCGAUGGGCCCCUCAGCACGUGUGGGAGGGAAGGAGACAUUGGCGUAGCUGCGGUACAGCUCCUUAAAUGCCUCAUGGGUCGCCUUCUUAAAGACCUUGACAGCAAGCAAGUCCAGGAAAGAGGACACCCAGGGUGCACCAGGCGCCAUGCCAGGCACUGUACACAGGAGGCCCAGGAACCUCAGGAGACUCUCAUCAGCCUGUCCAUCGCUGCUGUCGGGCCACAGAGGUUUCGUUGAUGCUCCAGAUGCUUAAUUCACCCGGUGAGCCAGGUAGCUACCCUCAAGGGACUCACAGUGUGAGCAGCAACCUUAGAGAAGUUUUAAGGAAACUGCUUUUAUGGGGUUUAGAUGCUGGGAGAGGCGAGCUCCUUAAGUAACUUUGCAGCUGCCGCUAGGCUGUCACCCUCCUGCAGAAACACGCCGAACAGCCACCCCAUUGUGGCAGCAUCUCGGCCAUCUGACCACGCACACAUCUGCCCACCCGCUCUGCCGCUGACAAUGGGGUACGACAGAUCCACGCCGGAGGGAGUGUCAGCCCGACUGUCUGGGAGGGGGGCUGGCGUUGGCUAUGGGGGCUCCUCCUCUCCUCCCGAGGGCCCCCCAGAGCUGGAGCGCGGACGUCCAUCUGUGCUGGCAUCACUCAUUUCUGACGCAGCCUGGCAGGUGCUCUGGCUGAGGGGAGGUGGGAUAAAGGCCUGGAGGUAACAUUGCCUCAUUUUUGUGGCAGGAGAUUGACAAGAGGUCUGAGGGCAACUGGAGGGCCUCUGGUUCGCCGCCUUCAGGAAAGGAUCAAGCUGGUGGAAACAAAUUCAAUCAUUCUGAUUUAAGAAAAGGCGUUUUGAGGGCUUUCCUUUCCAUUUUAUAUCACUCCUGGAGUCUUAAAUCCUAAAUUCUUUUUAUUCAAAACGGAUUUAUUUCUGAAGUAUUGGCCUAAUGUCAUUUUAGAAACUUUACUCAGAAUUGAGUUUAAGGAGCUUAUCAGGUACCUUCUGCCCACAACUUGGGACUGCAAAAGACACAGUGCACCACCUGUAUUUUGUUUUUAGAAGGAUGGGUUUAAUGUUCUGACUUUGUCCGACUGUGAUGCCCACUACAAUUAUGGAUAAUUAUUAUGUCUUGCUGAGAAAUUACAGUGGGAUAUGGGCCAUGCAGAAGACAGACUGAUGCACACAGUGCCCCCAGUAGAUUCAGAAACUAAAUAGCCGUAUUUAGAUUUCGGUAAUGGCGUGGAACAGGAAAAAUUCUCUCCUGCUGGGGGGUGGGGUCACUAAAAUUACUUCUAAGGAAAAAAUCCCUCUCCCAACAGUGCAAGCGGAGUAAUCAGCAAUCUAAAAGAGGUAAGAACCAGGGAAAUAAAUAAAGGAAUUAAAAAUCAGGACAUUUUAAGACUGAAAAUGAGGCUUUGUUUGUAACAUGUUCACGAAAAGAAUGUCAGUCUUUCAAAAAAGGCUGCAAUACCAGAGCCACAGGCCUCUGAUUCCCAUUCCCUAAGGCGGCAGAUAUUGAUCAGCUGCCCGCCACGUACCAGAUUCAAAGUAUGUCAGUUUUUAAAAAAUAAUAGACAUCCCUUAAUGUCAAAUCCUAUUGCUAUAUGUGCUAAAAUCACUGAUUGAUGACACUUUUUUAAAAAUUAGAAACAUUAGAUUUGUAAAGGUUAAUAUGCUUUUUUACUCAGUCAUUCAGAUCCUGGAACAGACUCUCAUAAGGACAAACAGUUUUUAAAAUAUGGUGGAGGAAUUUAUCACAUAGAAUUAAUCAUGGCAUUCGGCCUCCUGGUGCAUUUCCUAUUUGGGCCACAUACUCUUGCAAACCAGGGUUAAAUAAGAGAAGGGCCCUGUGCAGGCAGAUGGGGGUGCAAGGGCCUGGCCGAGAGUCUAGAGGGACGAGGUGGGCGAGGGAGUCGGUGAGCCUGGAAGCAAAGCAAAACAGGGCACAGGGGAGGAGAGCAGGGUAGAGAUGGAAACCGGGGUGAGCCAGCUCAUGUGAGCGAGGCUCAUCUUAGGCGAGGUUUACAUGUGGCUUCCAGAGCCUCUGCAGACAGUAACCGACCUCCCUCCAAACCCCAUGGUGAAGUUGGACUCACAGUUCUGUGACUUCCUAGCUCUGUAAACUUGAGCAUGUUACUUGGUUUCUUGUGCCUCAGUUUCUCAUAGGUAAAAUGGAGUCCUUUCUUAUAGUGAGGACUCAGUGAGUUCAUCCAUUUAACAUGCUUGGCACAGUGCUCAGUAAAUGUUAGCUGUUAUUAUUUAGAAGAGUGAAGUGGAUAUUUUUCAUUUUUUUUACUACCCAACAUUGAAAUCUCUUCCUCUUGUGUGGGUCCUGGUGGGAGGCAGGGCUUACCCCACACAAAGGAGGGUGAAGGUGGGCCUGGGGGCAGCCAAAUACACACCCCCUCUUGGGAUUUUAAUCCUGAGGGAGUGAGACAAAGGUGCCCAACGACCCUUAGGGGUGAUCUGCAGAGCUGGUGGCCAUGAGGAAGGGGUGGCAGGCCUGUGUGGCCGGGCAGCCGGACUGUCCCUGUGGUAACUUGGCAUAACCCCCAUUGCUAACCUUCCUGGCCCCUGCCCUCUGCUCUUGCAAUAAAUUCCUUUUCUGGUGAGUUAGCCAGGGGUUGUCCACUGGUUUGCAACUGUCAACUUCAGGAUCAAAUUCACCUGCUAUUUACCCUCAAAAUGAGUUUAUUCAGGAAUAGCCAAAACAAGUGCAAUCCAGGAAGCACAUGCUACGGUGAACCAGAGGCAAAUCCAGAAAAUAAAGGAGGGGAGCUGCUUUUUCUAGAGAAAAGUGGGGAGUAAGGAGAGGUUGUUCUAAAGGAAAGUCCAUUGGAGGGAAGUUACAGUUCAGGGUGACAACAGCUUCUCAUUGGCUGAGCUGUGGCAUCUCUCAUUGGCUGAGCUGCGGCAUCUCUCAUUGGCUGAGCUGCGGCAUCUCUCAUUGGCUGAGCUGUGGCAUUUCUCAUUGACUGAGCUGUGGCGUCUCUCAUUGGCUGAGCUGCGGCAUCUCUCAUUGGCUGAGCUGCGGCGUUUCUCAUUGGCUGAGCUGUGGUGUUUCUCAUUGGCUGGGCUGUUGCCGGGUGGGGAGAGAAAUCUUCCUUCAGUAGUGAAGUAGUUGUACUUGUCAGAGAUGCAAGUAUGAGUCUCUUCCCGUUUGGUGUAACUGAUGGUGUGUGAUAGGGUGCGAGAGCUCCCCCUAGAGGCCGCCACCUCUCCACUUUGGUUGAGGUUUCUUAUUAAUUUCCACACCGCCAAGAACUCUUAGAGGAGCCAAGCUCAACAGUGUCGUCAAAUAUCACUGCCCCCUGGAGACCAGGGUUAGGCUGAUGGUGGAAGGGCCAGAGGCAUGAUGACAGAGCCCUUGGGAGGGCAGGACAGGCAGAAGCCACACCCAUACCUCUGAACCUGGAGAUGGUAGGGGGCUGGGAGGCCAGCAGGUAGGGGAGGCAGCAAACGCUUACCCAGGACCCACACUGCGGGUUUUUGGUCUCUAAUCCUUUAUCACUGUUUCUCUGCCAACUCCUUCCUUGCUGGGAGCAUGGAUUCUUCUGCAAGUGGGGCAAGGGUGUGUUUAUCAGCUUGUUGCAAAUUACAUGGUAAACACCAUCCCCCUGGCUGAGGCGGUUACUGAGUCUCUUUGUUAGAUUAAUAAGAUUACAACAAUCUGGGCAGACUUUCAAGUGUUUAUUUUCAAAACCUUACUUCAGAGGGUGGUGGUAACACAGUACCAGGCCUGACUGGAUCCCGGGUGUUUGGCUAGAGGGCGUUUCUGUUCUGAGUGCUUAUUUCUCCACAUAUGGAGGAAAAAUGGUCAUUAAUCCUCAACCUCUGACAAUUUAUAGUCCGUAUCCUACAGUCCGUUUUGUGAUCAAAAACUUGAGGUUUAACACCUACAUUUUGUCAGCCUUGUGGCCCAGCUCUCAAAGGGGUCUGAAAAGGGGUUACAGAGAAUCCUUUCCCGCAGCUUUUAAGCUUUCUGGUAGACGGCCUGUCCUUCAGUUUGUAACUAUGGGCAUUUCGGCAAAAUUUACUCCAAGUGAAAUGCUGUAACGCAACCCCGUUUUCCUGUUGACUGGUGUUAUUACAUUAUGGAUGUUACAGCUCCUCGGCAAGCACUCACCAGGCUUUGGGGCACAUGGGGGCGCAGGCUGGGGCGGCUCUCCCUGCUGCACUUUAGGACUUUAAUCACGCUCUGCCCUGGGACUCUGCGUAGCUCUGGGCCCUGCCGGCCGCGAGGACUGGGGGGAUCGAGAUGGCAGAAACCGUCUCUGCCUGCGAGGUGCUCUCAGCCCACUGGGGCCAUGGAAGCCUUGCACCUCCCAAGCACACAGGCUCUCAGAGCCUUCACCGUGUCCAGUCUGCCUUCCCCACCUCUCCUCCCGCCGCAGUCUCCCCAGGUCCACCUGCCCACCCCUCUUUCCUUCCCUCUAACGCACAGCCCCAGACCGUGGCUGUGGACACUGCACUUCCCAGACACUCUGAGCAGUCUCACGACUCGGCACAGGUUGACCCAGUUCCCUCGCCCUGCCACGCCCUUCCCCGCCUCCUCACACCCUUCCAGACAGGGCUGCUCUUCUGGAGCUCAACCCUAAGCUCUGGGCUCUCCCAUAUUCCACGCACCCAACUUGGUCCCGGGAUUCCCCACCUGGCUUUAGACUUGGCUGCCUCUCUGUCUGACUCUCCCAUGAGGCGCUGCACUCUUUGAGGCAUUUCAAACUCAUCUUUAUGACCUCCAUGCUGAGCCUGGGAUGUACCACAUACUGGGAAUUUAGUAAAUGUUAAGUGAGUACAUGGGUGAAUGAAUGAAAAAAAUGAGUACAUACCUUAACAGAGAUACAAAUAAUAAUUAGCUUUAUGUAAAGGCUUGUCAAUUUACAGAAGUUUCAUACACAUCAGUUUACAUGAUCCUCAUGGCGAGUUAGAAUAGUUACCAAUGCCUGAAUUUCAGAGAGGUUAAACUAUUGUAACAAUAACGAUAGCUCUAAUGCCUGAGGACUGACUGUGUGUCAGGCACUUAAUAAACAUGCUCUGUUAAUCCUAGAACAACUGUGCAAGGUAGGCAGCCAUCUUUUACAGUUGGGGAAACUGAGUCUCAGAAACAUGUCUAAAGCCAGAGCCAAGAGUGGGACCACAUCUUGGGACUCCCAAGCCUUUGUUUAGUCCCUGACACGAUGUUGGCGGACAGGAGGCUGGAGCCAGGUCCAGACAGCCAAAGGAGGCCUGAGCUAAGUCUGGAAGGAGUGAAGCGAAGAUCAGAGGGGAUGGACAGCCUGGUCAGGGGGACUGACAUGGGCAAGGGAGGGUAGGUGUGAGCAGGCAGGCCAGGCUUGGGGCCUGGGACCUGAGGGACAGUGUGAGGGGUGGGCAAUGGGGCAGGAAACAAUCAACGCUAGUGGCCAGGAGGGACCGAGGCAUAACAGGCCUCGAGUGCCCCGGGGUGUCCAUGCGGAUGGGGGAUGAACACCGCAGGGGCCUUUGGAGUAUUCUUCUGCGUUAGUGGGGAAGAAGCUGGAGGUGGCAAGACCAGCCAAGGCGAUGGUGACAAUUUGGACUAGCCGCAAGGCAGCCUAACAGGGUAGUGGAGUAGAAAAAAAAAGGGGAAAUAGAUACAUGGGAAGUGGAGAACAUUUCCCAUACCUCUCCCCUGCUCUGUUCUUAGGCCAAAGAAAUUUCUCCAAAGAAAAACUUCCCCAUCCUUUGCUGGUUCAGGCCUCUGUGCCUUUGCACUUACUGUUCCUUCUCCCUCAAGUGCUCUUUUCCCCACACAGCCCCACCCACCUGGAGAACACCUAUUCAUCCUUUAAAACCUUGCUCAGAUGUGACUUCUCCACAAAGUCUUUCCUCACUACCAGUGUGAUAGAGUUGACCAUCCCACCUCCGUGCCUUGUCUCUGCUUCUGCUAGGGUGCCAAUGCCACUGAGGUUAGUUUACUGAUCUGCAUCUCCUGGUAGACGGUGAACGCCUCAAUGGUUGGGACUGUUUCCAUCUUUGUGUUCCUGCACCUAGGCCAAUGCCUGAUACAGACUAAGCACGAUGUUUGAAUGAAUGAAUGAACGCAUGCACACAUGAGUAAACGAAUGCAUAAAGACAUUAUUCUCCUCCCUCUUUUCCAGCCAUUCCUGAUGUCCAAUAGAAGUGAGCUACACUCGUUAUUCUCUCUCAGAUGAGGUUUGAAAAAUGUUUUGUUUUCAAAAUGCCUUUGUUUUGAAAAAUGCCUUCAAUUUAAGCUUUGUUUUUGUAAAAUUAGUGAGUAUCUCAUUUGGCAAGUUUGAAACACCCAAAACAAGCAAAAAAUGCUGGUGGAAGGGAAAGGAAAAAAGAGGAGAGAGGGGAAGGCUGGUGGGGCCAUGGGCCUUCAGUUGCUGUUUUCCCUGAGCUCGAUCAGGAAAAACAAAACACCCAGGCCUGGGGCCGCUCUCACAAGCGGCCUCAGACGAGUGUUUACUUCACCUCCUUCCAUUAGCUCUUAAGAGGAGCCAAUAGAAAAGACCUUGAAAAUGGUAAGGAACACCAUGAAAGAGACAUAUUAUUCUGCCUGGAUGGUAAAAUAUGGCCUUGUGAACUACGUGCUAGCUUCCCAUGCUCACUCAAAGAUGAUUUUAAUAUUAAACGUAUUCCUUUCAUUGACUAAGACAUACACUAACUAGGGAGAAAAUGUUUUCCAAAAUUUAAACUUAAAUCUGUUAAUAAGCACAAAUCUUCAUAAAAAAGUCAGAAGUACAUGGAGACUAGCAGCCUAACCUUAGACGGGAAGCCAUCUGUGACUUUAGAACAAGGGUUUUUACUCACUGGAGGGGGCACACUUUUGUGAAAUGCUAAACCAAAUACCACGGAACAUUAUUAUGGCUUCAAAAACUAGUUACAGGCUUCAAUAAGCACACUUUUAUCACAAGAACACACAAUCUAAAGCCAAAAUAGUUCAGUUUAAUACGCCAAAAAUAUGCUCACCCCAUACAUUGUUAGAAAGAGCAGUAGGAAAAAAAAUCUAAAAUUUGCUGCUAAUUCAUUUGACGGCAGCCAACGUCUCCUAUCUUUCUUGGCAAGAGGGCCAUUUUUCUAUGCUGUAUUUUGCACACAGAAAUCUGCAUAGAGUGAUUUGCAUACCAAAAACACGUUUGUAAAAGAAACUACUUGCACAGAAGCCAGGGAGAGAUGGGGUUGCCACUGUUGGCUUCUAUACACACAACGCCCCCAGGCUACUUGCUUUCCUUUUUCAAACAUACUGCAUUUCCCGCAAAGGGUUAUGCACUUUAUGAUGCAUUAAAAAUUAAAGCAAAUAUAUCUUUUAUAUAUCCAAGAGCAACCAUAACAACGAUAACAACACAGGCUAAAUAUUUCCAUGCUAACAGUCUUCAACUUUUUGCUAAGGGGCUGGGAAUAAUAAGUGCUAUAAUAUAUUGAGCUUUUAUUUUAUACCAUGUCUUUUACAUAAAUUAUUGCUAAUUCUCGCCAUCAGUCUUCAAGGCCAGUGCUGUGGCUCCCCGUUUUACAUGAGGAAACUAGGCUUGGGGAGGUGAGGUGGCUCCCCAAAGCCGCGCAGGCCAGCAGCAGCAGCGAAGCCAGGUUUGGAAGUCUGGUCUGACUGCUCUGCCCCUUCCUGCCACCCUGUUCCCCACUGCCUCUCUCUUUCCCCGGUUUUGCCAAAUACCUUUGUUUCAUUUCCAAGGCUGGGUCUACCAGGCUGAGGGGUGGGGGAGUCAUGCUGGCAGAGGUAAUCACUUGGGUUUCCUGGCCUUUUUCUCUGACGAGCCUGGAAGCAGGGCAGCUAGUCUCAAGGCUCAGGGAAGGAGCCCAGGAAAGCAGUGCAGUGACAGACAGGGUGGAUGGGCAGUGGCCUGGGGUGCGGAGGGCACCGGGGGCGGGGAGACAGAUGGGUGGCUGCACAAAGAAGGUACGCGGUAGUUGAGAUGCAAUGGAACCCUCCCACUCGGUGCCCAUGCGCUGUCACCAGUUCAGUGCCAGCCCAGCUGUAUUCUUGGAAACACAGAACGGUUUUGUGUGUACUUAAUUAUAAUGCUACUUACAGACAAUUUGUCAGCAGCAAAUCAGAGGCUUGAUGCACUUCUUAAGAAAAAAAAAUUGGUAGUGGUUCUUUGAAAUGUGUCCAUCUGAUGAAUCCUUUGGAUUCUUCCAGUAUACAGCAUUUGAGAGAAAUCGGCCAUUUCUGGAAUGUCAAUCGGGGGGAAAGUACAAAAUGAAAAGACUGAGGAUGUCUGCAAAAAAAAAGAUUAUCAACAUUUGCUUUCCUUAAGAUGUUUCUUUGUGUAUUUUUUCUCACCUAGUUUCUCUUUUCCAGGGCACGAUAGCAAAAUUUACACCUAAUCCUCUCUCGUUACCCGUGGAUCGCCAGUGCCCGGAGAUUCCUGGCUUUGAGACUUCGUUAUGUAUUAGUCACUGUUAGAAAGCAGUUUUUCUGACACUUUCAGUAAUAAAUCCCUUUGAUAUGAUCUAUGGUAGCUCUGCCUCAUAGCAAGUUCCAGGCUAAAGCAAGUAAUGGAAUAGCAAACUGCUCUGGAGGCAGGCAGACCUGGUUUGAAUCCUGGUUCUGUCACUAUGGUUUUACCUUACUUAAUCUUUCUGACACUCAGUUUCUUCAUCUGUAAAACGGGGAAAAGCAUAUGAGGGCAGAACCUGGUUGCCCAUCCAACAGCCAUUUCCCUCUUCAUCCUUGCUAACAACAGUGACGACAACGAAAAAUCCUGAUUUUGUUCCAGUCCCGAAGUGCGAAAUCCCAGCAGAUGCGCUGCGUUGAUCUAAACCCUGCAUUCCUGUUGUCAGUGACUGGUUUACAGGGUCUACAGGAAAGCGUGUGACCUAAUUCUGGCCAAGGAUGCUGAAGAGGAAACCUGCCAGAAGCUUCCGAGAAAGAUUUUCCUCUCUGAUAAGAGAGACCCUUGAAGAGAAGGCCCAUCUGCCUUCAUCCACUGGCUCCCUGACCCACGCUGUUUGGUGCUGUGGCAGCCGUCUCUUGAACACGAGGGGAACGAUCACUGACACACUAAAGAUGGCAGAGCAGAAGGACCGAAAGAGCCUAGGGCCUUGGGGACAACACUGAUCUAUUGAGCCGACCUUGGUCCACCUAUCUCCAGAUUUCUUGUUAACAACGUCUUUAUGGUUUAACCUAUUGCGUAUUGAGUUUUGUGUUGCUUGCAGUCAAAAACAAUCCUAACUGACACAAAUACCAACCCCACAAGAUGGUUGUAAAUAAAUGAUACAUUGUAUGUAAAGUACUUAACACAAUACCUGGCACAGUAAGUGGUUGCUAUAUAUAUAUAUUAACAACAUUUAUGAGACAUGGGUAAUGAUCUAAAAGAGCAAAAGUUUCAAAACACAACACAGAUAAAUAAGAUGAACGGUACCGAUUUAGCAUGACAAAAAAGCUUUAUAUUCUCGGUAAGGGUGAGAGGAGACACUGAGGUACAAGACUAUGAUUACAGCCUCAAAUCCUCAUAUCUGGGAGUAAGAUGUAACUAUAGGCAGAAUGUGAACGCUAUUGGAGAUGAAAGGACUGUGGUUCUUGGCCAGGUUUCCAUCCAGCCUCUUACAACAGACAAUCACCCUGUCAGCAGCUCCGAUUCAUGUCUGAAGACCAACAAUUACAUGUGAAUUACCAGCCUUGCAAAGGGGCAGAAUUCUUUCAACUCACAGAAUCUCUUUCCAGAAUACCAAAUUUUACUAGUUGUUUUUUUUUAAGAUUGGCACCUGGGCUAACAACUGUUGCCAAUCUUUUUUUUUUUUUUCUGCUUUAUCUCUCCAAAGCCCCCCUGUACACAGUUGUAUGUCUUAGUUGCAGGUCCUUCUAGUUGUGGGAUGUGGGACGCCGCCUCAACGUGGCCUGACGAGUGGUGCCAUGUCCACGCCCAGGAUCCGAACCCUGGGCCGCCACAGCCAAGCGUGCGAACUUAACCACUGGGCCACGGAGCCGGCCCCAUACUAGUAUUUUCUUAAAAAUAUGUUAUUUCUUUAUAGCAGGAAAGAUAGAUAUACUGACAUAUAUUUAAAAUAUAAUACUCAUUGAGGAAUAUGUUGUCCUAGAUAUCACCUACCAUCUCGGAGCACUGUAGCAACUCAGAGGACUAUGUAUACUUUACACAUGAGACACCAGUUUUUGAAACAACCUACUAGAACACAAAGAAAGAAUACAGUAAAAUAACAUGGGAAAAUACCUAGCUAAUAGAGGUCAUGUCAUGUAAUCAAUACUCAAAGUAAACCAGAUUUUUUUCUUCACUCUGUUUUAGCAAAGAGGCAAAUGACAAGAUUUCAAACCAACACUGAGGAUUAGACACACACACUCAUAUCCACUGCUGUCUAGGGUCAGCGCACAUCCACCCCGAAGCCCAGUGCUCUCUCCAGCGACAGUGCCGUGCGACGAGUGUUGAUUGUCAUAACUGGUGGCUCAUGAGGCUUCACAAAUCCCAGAAUUAUUAAUCGUAUUCAGCAUACAAUAAAAGAGAAGUAAUCAGACAUAUGGACAAAAAUCUGUCAAGGAUUGAAAACAAAAGGUGAUUUCUGGUUACCUUGCAGUUCAUUAAAUAAAAUCACCAAUUCCUGAACAUUUUGGUUAACUGAGAUUUUCUUGUACACUGUACACACACCUGCUUUUCUCAAAAUAUAUCUGCUCCUUUUUCUUUCUUACAAUAAAGGGCAAAACUGUUGGUGGCUCAACUUCGUAC
ensembl:lncRNA